rnacentral:lncRNA from 1 species
UCCAAUUCAAUUUUCAAAGAAUUCUACCGUACCAAUUGGUGAAUCUCACAUCGCGACUUCUUCACGAAUUGCCUCUGAAUCGCCAGAAUGACGCCUUCAAAAUUGAGAUAGCUUAGAGCAAUUUCGAGCAGAUGCGACUUCUGGGGAAUUUUCCCACACCUUGACGAGCAUAUCACAGCAAUCUCAAGUAGUUUGGAUGCUAGAGUCGUAGACGAGAAAAUACAGGCCAAAGUCGCCGGAGCUCAGGCAAGGAAAGAACAAUCCCAGGAUGGAGCUUCUUCUAACUUCUC